GGUGCACGCCCUGCUCUGUGGCAUUCAGAAGCACCUCCUCAGUCUGGAGUAGGAAGGACUAUUGUUGGGGGCUUUUCUUCUCCUUAAUUUUGAGCUGCGGAUGAAGAAAGCUUGUGAGAGCCAGUUCUGGAGCCUCAAACUGGUUGACAAGCAGGAAGAAGUACUUCUGGUGGACAUUGACUGCCACAGUGGCAGCAUCACAUCUCUUGGUUAUUUAUGACAGCAGCACUGGAUACUGGAAGGGCUCCCAAGUACUAUUUGGAUUGCUGUGGACCAACACUAGGAAGAGAAAUUCAAGUGGAACACAUCUGAGACAACUGCUGCAAGCGUGAUGGAAGCAGCUGGAAAAGAAAGAUUGGUUUUGGUUUGUGCUGGUUUCUUUUUUUCUCAGUGACUAAGUAUCGAACUUGAAUCAACUGUGAGAGAAGAGAGAAUGAAGCCAGUUCUGACAUGCUGCAGCAAGCAGGCCUUCCUUAAAAAUCCCAGUAUGGCACAAGGGUUGACUCCCUGACAGCAGCAUCCAGUACCUUGCUCCUGAGACACAGCACUAGUCACAAGCUCUCCACCAAUGCAUCCAUGUACUGCAAGAAGAAACAGUGAAAGAUCAAUGUUGCUGCUUUCAGAGACUAUCAGCUCAAGUGAGCAUUUGAAAAAGUCAACUGGGCAUAAUUUAAUUUACUUUUCUUUAAGAAAACAAGAGAAGUAUUUGGGUUGGUGAUUAUUUUUCCCCUUUUUAGCAUGACACAAGGCAUAAGGGGGAUGCUGAACUUGGACUCAUCUAUCUGAUCUAUCAUUUUUCUUACAUAUCUAUGCUAUACUUGGAUGUAUGCUGAGCAAUGUAUGAGAAAAAACUUCCCUUUCAGCCUGUGAGCUUUCUUAGGACCAACAAGUAAUGCAUAACAGAAUAAUAAAAUACAGAGUUGUGCUGUAAUGGCUGCUUGCACCUUGACAGUUACGUUUGGUGAUUAAAUGGGACUAGAGGAAGGUCACCACCAGCUGGAUACUCCCUUCCCCAUGUUCAGGUAGCAUGCAGAGUGUCUAAAGGCCUCCUCUCAUAACUCUCCCUACAGCCCUUUCUCCUCAGGAAGUUAUCAACUGCUUGCUAAAGCUCUCAGACUACAUCAGGGAAGGAGAGCUCAAACAUGUCAGCUGCAUGAUAAAAGCCAGGGGCAGGAAGAGGGUAUAAAUGCCCCAAUAAAGGGCUCAAAUAGGGGAGUAACAGCAGGAAAAAACCUUCUCUUUUUGUUUGAGACUUACAGAGAUACAACCAGCUGCAAACACUUCAGAGCAGGAGACACAGCAGAGGCAGUAUUUGCUGUAAAAGCUACAUUAAGCUCUAGGGAUGAGAAUUAGCCUAAAAACA